CUCUCUGUAGCACAAUGAAUAGCGCGUUGGACUUUUGAUCCAAAGGCCGUGGGCUCGAACCCCACCUGAGAUGA